GGCGGAACGGGUGAGUAACACGUGAGUAACCUGCCCUUGACUCUGGGAUAAGCCUGGGAAACUGGGUCUAAUACCGGAUAUGACUCCUCAUCGCAUGGUGGGGGGUGGAAAGCUUUUGUGGUUUUGGAUGGACUCGCGGCCUAUCAGCUUGUUGGUGAGGUAAUGGCUUACCAAGGCGACGACGGGUAGCCGGCCUGAGAGGGUGACCGGCCACACUGGGACUGAGACACGGCCCAG
rnacentral:rRNA from 1 species